CCUACGGGCGGCAGCAGUAGGGAAUCUUCGGCAAUGGGGGGAACCCUGACCGAGCAACGCCGCGUGAACGAAGAAGUUAUUCGUAAUGUAAAGUUCUUUUAACAGGGAAGAAAGAGAAAUUUGACGGUACCUGAAGAAUAAGCUCCGGCUAACUACGUGCCAGCAGCCGCGGUAAUACGUAGGGAGCGAGCGUUAUCCGGAAUUAUUGGGCGAAAAGGGUGCGUAGAUGGCAUAGUAAGUCUUUUGUAAAAAUGCUGGGCUCAACCCAGUAGGGCAAAAGAUACUGCAAAGCUAGAGUAUGACAGAGGAAAGUGGAACUACAUGUGUAGCGGUAAAAUGCGUAAUAUAUGUAAGAACACCAGUGGCGAAGGCGGCUUGCUGGGUCGAUACUGACAUUGAGGCACGAAAGCGUGGGGAGCAAACAGGAUUAGAUACCCGAGUAGUC
rnacentral:rRNA from 1 species